UUUGGGAGUGUCUCCCUUCUCGGGAGACUCUCUCGACCCCACGAACCCUUGACCUCAAAUCGGGUGAGACUACCCGCUGAACUUAAGCAUAUCAAUAAGCGGAGGAAAAGAAACUAACAAGGAUUCCCCUAGUAACUGCGAGUGAAGCGGGAAAAGCUCAAAUUUAAAAUCUGGCGGUCUCUGGCCGUCCGAGUUGUAAUUUAGAGAAGC
rnacentral:rRNA from 1 species